rnacentral:lncRNA from 10 species
CGAAUGCUGAGAAUAACAUUCAAAACAGUUAAGGGGCUGCUGGUCCAUAUGGCCCCCAUUCUGCUCCCCACUCACCCCCUCCCCACCCCCGAGUACCACCUCCUCACUGGUUUGGUUUGGGCCAGGGCUCAGAAGGUGGUGUUACUUACUCUUGAACGCUUUGGCACAAGCAUGGAAGAAAACCCUUACACUUCAAACUUUUUCAUGCCACCAAAGCAAGAAGGAGAUUUCCAAUCAUUUGAAUGGAAGGCAAAGGAAGACUAAAGGUCAUUUCCUGACUGCUCCAAUUUGUUCCCUGUUGCUCUGUAUUCUCAAGGACCCACCUGGCCAUGGAUCAGGAAAAUGGAAGAAGCCCCAUUUUGGCAGCUGCAUCUUGGUUGCAUGCCUAGGAUCAAGGUAACCACAGUGUCUGGUAAUGUCUGGGUCAUACAUCUGAGAUGGGAAAGCUGACCAUUGCUAAACAGAAGGAGGCAAAGAGAAGCCUAGCCCAUUGGAUGAUCUUGAUUAAUCCUGCUUGCCUUUGGAACUUGGGGCUUACCUACAUUAUUUUUACUUCUAGCAGAAACCAUUAUAAAAUUGAUUGCUGUAGUUACAUACUCUUGCAAGCCAAACAACAUGUCAAAUGAAGCUUUGUGGUCUUAAGAAAAUAAUAAUGUGAACCUCAUAAGAGUUAAUAAAAAAAAUUCUCAUAUUUCCUGAGUGCUUAGAGAAUAAUCUGAAAGAUAAAAGGACAUGACUCUAUUCCCUGGGUUAUCUGUUUCCUAGAGCAUUCCUCAAGGUAGCUCUGAAACAAGCAUAGUUGAAUGGGUAGCAUGGUAUUUUGCUAGCUAUGCUAUCUAAGAGAGAACAGAGGUGCUUAUCUGCAUCAAAAUUGUCUUUAUUCCAUGGAUAUGUUAAUUUAUCUUAAAAUGUCUGUCCUGGGCUACUAGGGUCAGAUCAAAAAGACUCAGGGGCCAAUUUUAACCAGGCUUCAUUGGUGAAAGAUGAAACAAUUUGUGCAUUAAAUAGGAUAAUAACUGCAGUGGAUGGAUGAUACUCAUCAAAUAUAAUUAAAUCCAUGAGUUCAAAAUGACACUAGGGGAGAAAAACUACAACAGCUAAUUGUUCACCAUUGUCUGGUGUUAAGGAACCAACUCAUUAUUUUGAACACUAAAAAGAAAGAAUCAAAUAUUUAUUUUUUCUUUUCUAUAUAAACUGUACCGCUGAGUAACCAAAUGAGUUGAUAAUAGGAAAUUUGUAUUUAUAGAAGUAUCUAGCUAAUAAGUUAAGAAGAGAUGAUAGAACUGGAAUAUCACCCUUAUGAAACUGCUAACGAAUUAGUGGAUCCUGGCCACUAACUCCACAAAAAGAGACCACCAGACAUUAUGUGCCUCUUGACGAAAGAACACAUAACUAUCUUUGAAGUAGUCUUGCCAAUGGAUGAAACUUGAAUCUGAUCAAGCCUCUAAAUGCAACCACCAAUUUACAGGAAGUGCAGUGGGCAGAGGAUCAUGUUCAAAGACAGCACAUGAAUAGCAAAAUACAGACUGGAAAGUUCUGUGACAUAAAUAUCCUUGUUUUUUUCAACAAAUAAAUUGUAAGAAAGAAAGGGAGAUGAAGGGGAAAAUCUAUGAAUUGAAAGAAAGUCAAGAAAUUUAUCAAUCAAUCAGUCAUAAUGUAUGAAUGUUUUAGCAUUCUGAUUCAAUAAGCAAACUAUGAAAAUCAUUAAAAUUUCUGUUUCAAUUGGAAAUUUGAACACUGACUAGAUAUUUGAUAUUAAGAAAUGAUUAUUUUUUAGGUGUAAUAUUGAUAUUGUAUUUUAAAAGAAAUCCUUAUCUUUUAGAGAUAUAUACUAAAAUAUUUAUAGAUGAAAUUAUGUGAUGUCUGGGAUUUGCUGGCAGAGGGUUAGGUGAGGGUAUAGAUGAAACAAGAUUAGUUGUGAGUUGAAAAUUGUUGGGUGAUGAGUUCAUGGGGCUCAUUAUUUUGUUCUUUUCACAUUUGUGUAUGAGUGACAUGUCUAUUAUAAAAAAAAUUUAAAAACUGACUAUCUUGGCAAAAAUAACCAUGGUUGUUCAAACUAAUUAUUUUAAUGAUAUUUAGGGAAGAUGGCGUAGAACUAUAAAACAUUCAUUGUGAAACCUUCCUUUGUGAACCUAUACUAUAUAAAAAUAAUACUUU